rnacentral:rRNA from 1 species
CCCCACGGGGUGCAGCAGGCGCGAAAACUUGACAAUGCGAGAAAUCGUGAUCAGGGAACUCCAAUUGUCCCCGUUUUUACGGGGUUCUGAAUUGACUCUAAACAGGUCGAGUAAUAGGGGCGGGAAAUAUCGGUGCCAGCCGCCGCGGUAAUACCGAAGCCCCAAGUGGUCGUCGUUCUUAUUGGGCCUAAAACGUCCGUAGCCGGUUUGGUACAUUCGUGGGUAAAUCAGACAGCUUAACUGUCUGAAUUCUGCGAGCACGGCCAAACUUGAGACCGGGAGAGGUGUAGGGUACCUGCGGGGUAGGGGUAAAAUCCUGUCAUCCCGUAGGGACCACCAGUUGCGAAGGCUCUACACUAGAACGGAUCUGACGGUCAGGGACGAAGCCUAGGGGCACGAACCGGAUUAGAUACCCGGGUAGUCCUAGGUGUAAACGCUGUGGACUUUGUGUCGGGAAUUCUUCGAGGAUUCUCGGUGCCGGAGUGAAGAUGUUAAGUCCACUGCCUGGGGAGUACGGUCGCAAGGCUGAAACUUAAAGGAAUUGGCGGGGGAGCACUGCAACGAGAGGAGCGUGCGGUUU